GAUGAACGCUAGCUACAGGCUUAACACAUGCAAGUCGAGGGGAAACGACAUUGAAGCUUGCUUCGAUGGGCGUCGACCGGCGCACGGGUGAGUAACGCGUAUCCAACCUGCCUCUGACUAAGGGAUAACCCGGCGAAAGUCGGACUAAUACCUUAUGAGGUUUUCAGCAGACAUCUAAUGAAAACGAAAGAUUUAUCGGUCAGUGAUGGGGAUGCGUCUGAUUAGCUUGUUGGCGGGGUAACGGCCCACCAAGGCAACGAUCAGUAGGGGUUCUGAGAGGAAGGUCCCCCACAUUGGAACUGAGACACGGUCCAAACUCCUACGGGAGGCAGCAGUGAGGAAUAUUGGUCAAUGGGCGAGAGCCUGAACCAGCCAAGUAGCGUGCAGGAUGGCGGCCCUCCGGGUUGUAAACUGCUUUUAGUUGGGAAUAAAAAGGAGGACGUGUCCUCUAUUGUAUGUACCUUCAGAAAAAGGACCGGCUAAUUCCGUGCCAGCAGCCGCGGUAAUACGGAAGGUCCAGGCGUUAUCCGGAUUUAUUGGGUUUAAAGGGAGCGUAGGCGGAUUAUUAAGUCAGUGGUGAAAGACGGUGGCUCAACCAUCGUUAGCCAUUGAAACUGGUAGUCUUGAGUGCAGACAGGGAUGCUGGAACUCGUGGUGUAGCGGUGAAAUGCUUAGAUAUCACGAUGAACUCCGAUCGCGAAGGCAGGUGUCCGGGCUGCAACUGACGCUGAGGCUCGAAAGUGUGGGUAUCAAACAGG
rnacentral:rRNA from 1 species